GAUGUUUUGAUAUUUAGAUUGCGAGUUGAAUGCCGUUGGAUCACUAGAAAGAAAAUAGUUGAUUGCCACCGAGACUACCAUUUAGUGACCCAAGUGCCGACUGUUGACAGAAGUCAUUCAUCUCAGAGCUACCGACCGGCCUAAAAGAGAGGAAGAAAGCCAUCAGGAAAUUCAUCUAGAGUGAAGGAGAAACUUUUAAUGUAAGAUAGCAAAAUGUCGUAUGUACUGUUCAAUCUAAUUGUUGUAUUUAUUGUAGCUUUGAGUAAAUUUUAUAUUGAACUACAAGGAUUCGUUUUUGCCUGAGCCUGAGAAUUCCGAGAG